CCCUUAGAUGUUCUGGGUCGCACGCGCGCUACACUGAUGAAUUCAACGAGCCUAGCCUUGUCCGAAAGGUCCGGGUAAUCUCUGAAACUUCAUCGUGAUGGGGAUAGAUCAUUGCAAUUAUUGAUCUUCAACGAGGAAUUCCUAGUAAGCGCAAGUCAUCAGCUUGCGUUGAUUACGUCCCUGCCCUUUGUACACACCGCCCGUCGCUUGUACCGAUUGGAUGGUCCGGUGAAAUCUUCGGAUAGCUGGUAGUUGGCUUGCCAUCUACUGCUAAAAGUUGCUUAAACCUUAUCAUCUAGAGGAACAAGAAGUCGUAACA
rnacentral:rRNA from 1 species